rnacentral:rRNA from 1 species
CAAAAACAUGGUUUUUUGGGUUUUAGAUAAAAAAUCGAGCCUGCCCACUGAGAAGUUUGAAGGGCUGCAGUAUUUUGACUGUACAAAGGUAGCAUAAUCAUUAGUCUUUUAAUUGGAGACUGGUAUGAAAGGUUUGACGGGGGUUAACUGUCUUAGCUUUAAUUAGUGAAGUUUUUCUUUUUGUGAAAAAACAAAAAUAAGAUAAAGGGACAAGAAGACCCUAUUAAGCUUUAUUGAUUAAGGAGAUUUUUAUUGUUAGAUGAAGAAAGAUUUUUUUAGUUAGUUUUACUGGGGCGGUGAGUAUGAUCAACAAUAUUUUUAAUGUAAUAAUGUAGGUAAAGUUUGUUAGAUCCAAUUGGGUUGAUAAGAAGACCAAGUUACUGUAGGGAUAACAGCGUAAUACUUUUUGAGAGUUCAUAUUGACAGAUGUGUUUGCGACCUCGAUGUUGGAUUAAGGAAUCUUUUUGGCGCAGAAGCUGAAUAAG